UACGUAGGGUGCAAGCGUUAAUCGGAAUUACUGGGCGUAAAGCGUGCGCAGGCGGUUAUGUAAGACAGAUGUGAAAUGCCCGGGCUUAACCUGGGAACUGCAUUUGUGACUGCAUGGCUAGAGUUUGGCAGAGGGGGGUAGAAUUCCACGUGUAGCAGUGAAAUGCGUAGAUAUGUGGAGGAACACCAGUGGCGAAGGCGAGUCCCUGGACAACACCUGACACUGAGGCACGAAAGCUAGGGGAGCAAACAGG
rnacentral:rRNA from 1 species